UGGGGAAUAUUGGACAAUGGGGGCAACCCUGAUCCAGCAAUGCCGCGUGUGUGAAGAAGGCCUUCGGGUUGUAAAGCACUUUAGUUGGGGAAGAAGUUAUUUUGUUUAAGAGAUGGGAUAAUUGACGGUACCCAAAGAAUAAGCACCGGCUAACUCUGUGCCAGCAGCCGCGGUAAUACAGAGGGUGCAAGCGUUAAUCGGAGUUACUGGGCGUAAAGGGCGCGUAGGCGGUUAUGUAAGUUGGUUGUGAAAUACCUGGGCUUAACCUGGGAACUGCAACCAAGACUGUGUGACUAGAGUACUGUAGAGGGUAGUGGAAUUUCCGGUGUAGCGGUGAAAUGCGUAGAGAUCGGAAGGAACACCAGUGGCGAAGGCGGCUACCUGGACAGAUACUGACGCUGAGGCGCGAGAGCGUGGGGAGCAAACAGG
rnacentral:rRNA from 1 species